UACGGAGGGAGCUAGCGUUGUUCGGAAUUACUGGGCGUAAAGCGCACGUAGGCGGCUUUGUAAGUUAGAGGUGAAAGCCUGGAGCUCAACUCCAGAACUGCCUUUAAGACUGCAUCGCUUGAAUCCAGGAGAGGUGAGUGGAAUUCCGAGUGUAGAGGUGAAAUUCGUAGAUAUUCGGAAGAACACCAGUGGCGAAGGCGGCUCACUGGAGCUGGUAUUGACGCUGAGGUGCGAAAGCGUGGGGAGCAAACAGG
rnacentral:rRNA from 1 species